UUUUUUUUCUUUUCAGCCCUGUAGGUGCAGGUGGCAUUUACUUGUUUUCGCAGAUAAGUCACCGAGGCCCAGAAAGGAAGUGACUUGCCCCAGACCACGUGACUAAUAAAGCCCUGUUGCUCCUGAUCUCAGGGCUCUUCCCACAUCUGUGUGGAGAACCCAUUGUGAAUUUCCUCCCAGGUUGGCACCCUCUGCUGCCUGCCCCGCCCACGCCCAGCCUUUGUUUCCCUUCUGCGUGUAUGCCUGGAGCCCAGGAGUGGAAAUCCGUUCGUUCGGUUGACCCAAAGAGAAUUGGAAAGGAAAAGGGAUGGCAAAGAGGCUUGUUCGUUCCUUGGGCACCCCAUAAGCGCCUGUCCGUUUGGUGUGGCCCAUUGGGAAGUGGUGGUUAGUGUAUUCAACGUGUGAUAGGAUAGUGGCACCAUUUCCGCGCGGAAUGCGAAGCUAACCAGGGACAGAUAGACCCAGGAGGCAGGCAGGGUUUUCCUGCCUUUGUGGGGUCACAGUCCUGGAGAGCUUGGGGCCAUGUCAGGGGGAGACCCCUAAGAUAGAGCCUAUGGGAAAGGGCGUCUUUCUUAUAUGUGACUGCUUGGAACCCCACAGAGCACCUGGAAAUAAGUGCGGGUGGUGCAUUCCUUUGGUGGGGAGUAGGGGCGGGUGGCAUGGUACCAUGAUGACAGCUUAGUCUUCCUUACAGGGAGGGAACCCCUGGUGCAAACCACCCUCCUCCCCGCCACGCUCUAUUUGAGUGCGUCUCCCCCUCCUAGCUUCAGGUUACGUGGGAGUAGAGUCACUGUGACGUGGUAGUGCCUUGAUGAGACCAGCGUGCGCGCAGUCAAGGGGAAUAUUGGGGACUGGAACUCAGGAGAAAGCUCCAUCAUCUAGGGGCUUGGUGUCACGGAAAACUGCCUGGCCUGCUUCACAGAGGUCACCUGGCCUCUCCCGAGAGGGUGACGGGCAGCUCUUCCCUCCUGACCUCUCUCACGAAGCUAGAUUUUGUGUAGAGUUCUUGAAUGUUCUGAUAGCCGUAUGCUGACCUGCAGUGCUUCUCAACUUCACAAGGGAGAAUCCCAUUAUGACAAAUAUUAUUGAAAACAAUUCUGUAUAAUAAAACUAUUUCCAUGGUUCAUAUACCUGCCUUGUUGUUGUUUUUUUGUGGGUUUUGUUGUUUAAAGAAACGAGUAACCGACUAUUUUCUGUAUCAGGUACUCUUUCUUGUCCCUGUCCAUAUAUGAGUUCAUCCCUAAGCCAGGGCACUUGAGCCCUAGCUGUUUGCAUUGGAGGCAGGGAGAAGGGAGAGGAGCAGUGGACCCACCACCAAGUAGCAAGGGCCCCCUGGCUUCCAUUUCAUCUCGGACCUUCCACCCUCUGGUACGUCCUUGUUUUCAAACAGAACACCACCCAAAGACCCAACAAAGGACGACAGCAAAACUGAAGCCCAGAGAAGUAAAGUGACCACGUAGCGCACGGGGGCGAGGCAGGAUUGGGGUCCACGUAUUGACCACUGUAGUAGGCCACCCCUCAGGAGACUAGACCGCGGCUUGUCCUUACUCCCUGAGCGGGAUAAGGGGGCCGUCAGAGUCCAAGAACGAUCGGGUGCCUGCCGUGGCGUGCCUGAGCCCCAUCCGUGCCCCACGCUGACCCAGCCCCGGGGGUCAGCCGCACUGCAGCUGUCUGCCGAAGUGCACUGAGUCCGCUCAUGAUGUCCAGGUACCUCCU